rnacentral:rRNA from 1 species
CGAGUAACCUGCCCUUAACUCUGGGAUAAGCCUGGGAAACUGGGUCUAAUACCGGAUAUGACUCCUCAUCACAUGGGUGGGGGGUGGAAAGCUUUAUUGUGGUUUUGGAUGGACUCGCGGCCUAUCAGCUUGUUGGUGAGGUAAUGGCUCACCAAGGCGACGACGGGUAGCCGGCCUGAGAGGGUGACCGGCCACACUGGGACUGAGACACGGCCCAGACUCCGUACGGGAGGCAG